CACCAGCUGGCAGCCACUCCCACCAGCUCAGUGACACCAGUGCUCGCCAGUCUGCAGGUGUGGGCAGGAUGUGAGUCCAGGCGUCAGAGGGGAAAGAAUCCUGGCAGCCUUCAAGGAACCCAUCAUCAAGUAAACCAGACGAUGAACUGGGACUGUGUCAGAAAGUUUCCUCAGGUUGACCGUUAUUCAGUGACUUUAUUUACUGACGAUAGAGGGGACACAGCCCUUUUCAGGGAAAAUGACCAAAAGCAGCUCUGUGGAGAGGGCUUAACCUACUCUCCAGAUCAUGUAGAUUUGGCUGUGGAAAGGACAUGAAUGACUUGCUUCCAGGGAUAAGCCUAUUUUAGCUCAAUCUUCACCAUUUCUUCUCAGCAGCCACGUGUUUAGUGGCUGUGAAACUAGACUGACAACCUUUCGGCCACCAGAAAGGACUCGUGCAGUGUAAUCUCAGCAAGACAGCUGAAGACCACAUGGCAGCCCUGCUCGGCCACACACGUACCUUCAUCAGGAGCAGACAGUUUGCCAUGGAGUACAUCACCCGGCCCAGACGUGACCUCCACAGCCGAAUAGAGGCUGCAAGACAAGCUGCUGUUGCUGCUGCGAUUUGCAUAGAGAAUUGAGAUCAUCUUGCCAAUCAACACUCCCCACGUGACCCGCCCCAGGAGGUGAGGGCUUCCGUUCGUGUGACUCCCUGGUCUCCACACGCUGAGGACAAAGGCGGCCUCUCUUCACCUGCAGGGCCGUUAUUUAACACCAGAUGGAGAACAAUGUGCUGUGAACACGGAGGACUUUUCCUCUUAACCAUUAUCUUGGGCUGCCUUGAUGACUCAGAGGACAGCCUGUGGUUCCAAACUGUGACCUUCUGAAAACAAUCUAGCCGGUUCAAACUCGGUGAAAUGACAUUCUUCGGUGAAUCUGUCUUCUGAUGAAUAAUCACAAGAGCAGAAAUUGACAAAGAAGAAAACCUUGGUGUUACCAUGAAUUAACUUCCCUCAACCCUCGCACACAGUUGGCGGGAAUGUAAUCAGCGCAACCACUAUGGAGAACAGUGGAGUUUCUACAAAAACCUAAAAAUAGAGCUACUAUACCACCCAGCAAUCCCACGCCCAGAUAUAUACCCCGGAGAAAGGAAACUGGUGUAUCGGAGAGAUCUCUGCACGCCCGAGUGUGUGCCAACACCGUUCACCACAGCCACGACUUGGAAGCAGCGUUAAGUGUCCAUCCACGGAUGAGGGGAUAAAGGAAACGGCCACACACACGACGGAGGACCGUUCAGCCAUCAAACAGAAUGGGGUCCUGUCAUUUACAACAA